UUCAGUUCUGUUCAAUUCAGUUCAGAAACAUUCAUUCAAUUGAAUUCAAUUCAAUUCAAUUCUAAAGAACAUAACCUAACUCAGGAACGGUUCCAUAAGUUGAAUAGAAAGCACUAGAUUUUUAAUGUCGAAAACCAUAGACAUAGAGCAAGAACACGACAGAUUAAUUUCUUCAUUUGAUUUCACCAGAAAAAAAAAGUGUCUUCAUUUGAGGAAGGUUACCACCGUGAACGGCGGCAAUCGAAACUUUAUCAAUGCAGUGAAGGCUCAACAACGUUCAAUGAGGUUGGAUGAGAGUGGCUGGUUGAUGACAGGAAUCAAGUAGACCUCAUCAUAAGAGUGAUAGCUGCUAUUUUCACCUGUCUGCACCUCAUAUUCGAUGGAGAGGCGUUUGUUUUGAGGAAAUGGUAGAUCUUUGAUAGAUGGAUCCUUGCACAUGCCAAAACAACAGGUUGGUGUUGAUUCUUCAUCUUGAAGAACCAAGUAACCAGAAUUUCGACCUUCCGGAAGCAAUGAGAUGGCCUCCGGAGAGUUCUUGUAAAGAGAUAAAGGUCUGGUGGUGUACAUUUUCUGCCUUCAAUUCUCAGUAACCAGGUGCCUUCAAUUGCUGUCUAUUUGUACAUUGAUUAUUUGGGGAUAACAGUUGGUCUAUUCUUUUUUUGUUGCCUAAAUGUCUUGGUUGACUUGUUACAAUAUAAAAUAAUAUAAAUACUCGUACUUGAUGACGACUACGAGAAUGUAACAA